AAUGACUCUCGACAACGGAUAUCUCGGCUCUCGCAUCGAUGAAGAACGUAGCGAAAUGCGAUACUUGGUGUGAAUUGCAGAAUCCCGUGAACCAUCGAGUCUUUGAACGCAAGUUGCGCCCGAAGCCUUUUGGCCGAGGGCACGUUUGCCUGGGCGU
rnacentral:rRNA from 1 species